UUGUGCGAAUACGGUAGUUGAAAGGACGCAGAGCAACAGCCAUGACUUUGGUGCUAAUCCUCGCUAUUUUCGUCGUCUUUGCGACAGUUACAAGUCAGCAGGAGCUGCAGGGCGUAGACCCCGGUCACAGCAGAAUUCAAGGGCGAAGCCUUCAUCCAACACCCUUCAGAAGAGGUCGAUGGGGUAGAGCAUGCGGUGGUCCGGGCGAGUUGUACACGUAGAACUUAGAGUCUGUGAAACUUUCAAGGAACUCAUUUGGCAUGGAUAUUCUGCAGUCAACCACGAAGAUACAGGCCUCCCGCUUUCAACGUCCCAUGCACAAGGCGGAAGUGAUAGAGGCUUCGCUGCUUCUGGCGAGUCAGUGUGGAAUUAUUUGCAGUGUGCUUUGAAGGUUCGGAUGCAACGAGUGGGUGAAUGUCAAAUAUUUAUGUGCAUAUUUGUGAUGGGCAGUGUUGCUAUUUCCAUCUUCUAACUCAAUUUUUGUAUUACUUUUACUAGCUUUCUCUGCCUGCGGAAACUAGGCUUGCUAAACGUAGAAAGACACAUGUCGGGAAUAUUGGUUGCCAUUUCACACGGCGAAAAGGGACCGUUAUCUCCGCUACAUUUUUGUUUCGGUUUGCUUUCUGAUAUGAGCUGAUACAACCGGUGAGUAACCUCGUUAUUUCCUAAUGCAGAAGUGCUGUUCAGAAGUAAGCUAACUAGAGAGUGACAUUUUGCUUUGCUGUGUUUCACACGUUCUCUUCGCCUGACAUUUGGCACAUUUUAGAUUACAUGCUGUACCUCUGAAGUCAGAGGUUAGACUUCUUUGGAGCAAUCGCAGCCCUCUCUGUAUUACCCCUCUUUUUUCUUCCUUUUGUACACGUGUCAACUCCUGUCAGAUACCUAAGUGUUCCUACAGGUAUUAAGGCUAAAAUGGUGAAUGGCGAACUGCGCACCUCCGUGAUAGUGUUCUGUCUUGUCUUUAGCUUAUGGAAUACGUAGUACCGAGUGUAAGUCAUAUAUAGUUCUUGACAUAGAACAGAGUGUUAUUCACAAUGACUCUUCCUGAUAUUAGUGAAAUUUAUAUGUAAUGCACAGACCGAAGCAAGUUUUCAUGCAUCUUUAUGAACAAUAAAACACGUUGCAAUAUGCA